AACCUCUCCGGUGACCUAGUGGUUAGAGCGUCCGCCUCGAAUGCGGAAGGUCACGGGUUCGAACCACGGCCAAGUCA